rnacentral:pre_miRNA from 1 species
CAUGCACCGGUGGGGUCCCUCAGCCUGGCCUGUGCCCUCUCACAAUCUGGGACCUCUCGGAGGAUGUCCAAGAGCCAGUUUCAGCCCAAUCCCACAGGCCAGGCCGAGGGACCCCACUGGUGCACA